UCCUACGGGAGGCAGCAGUAGGGAAUUUUCGGCAAUGGGGGAAACCCUGACCGAGCAACGCCGCGUGAAGGAAGAAGUAAUUCGUUAUGUAAACUUCUGUCAUAGAGGAAGAACGGUGGAUAUAGGGAAUGAUAUCCAAGUGACGGUACUCUAUAAGAAAGCCACGGCUAACUACGUGCCAGCAGCCGCGGUAAUACGUAGGUGGCGAGCGUUAUCCGGAAUUAUUGGGCGUAAAGAGGGAGCAGGCGGCACUAAGGGUCUGUGGUGAAAGAUCGAAGCUUAACUUCGGUAAGCCAUGGAAACCGUAGAGCUAGAGUGUGUGAGAGGAUCGUGGAAUUCCAUGUGUAGCGGUGAAAUGCGUAGAUAUAUGGAGGAACACCAGUGGCGAAGGCGACGAUCUGGACGCAUAACUGACGCUCAGUCCCGAAAGCGUGGGGAGCAAAUAGGAUUAGAUACCCUAGUAGUCCACGCCGUAAACGAUGAGUACUAAGUGUUGGGGGUCAAACCUCAGUGCUGCAGUUAACGCAAUAAGUACUCCGCCUGAGUAGUACGUUCGCAAGAAUGAAACUCAAAGGAAUUGACGGGGGCCCGCACAAGCGGUGGAGCAUGUGGUUUAAUUCGAAGCAACGCGAAGAACCUUACCAGGUCUUGACAUGGAUCUAAAGGCUCUGGAGACAGAGAGAUAGCUAUAGAGAUACAGGUGGUGCAUGGUUGUCGUCAGCUCGUGUCGUGAGAUGUUGGGUUAAGUCCCGCAACGAGCGCAACCCCUGUUGCCAGUUGCCAGCAUUAAGUUGGGGACUCUGGCGAGACUGCCGGUGACAAGCCGGAGGAAGGCGGGGAUGACGUCAAAUCAUCAUGCCCCUUAUGACCUGGGCUACACACGUGCUACAAUGGACAGAGCAGAGGGAAGCGAAGCCGCGAGGUGGAGCGAAACCCAGAAAACUGUUCUCAGUUCGGACUGCAGUCUGCAACUCGACUGCACGAAGAUGGAAUCGCUAGUAAUCGCGAAUCAGCAUGUCGCGGUGAAUACGUUCUCGGGCCUUGUACACACCGCCCGUCACACCAUGAGAGUCGGUAACACCCGAAGCCGGUGGCCUAACCGCAAGGAAGGAGCUGUCUAAGGUGGGACUGAUGAUUGGGGUGAAGUCGUAACAAGGUAUCCCUACGGGAACGUGGGGAUG
rnacentral:rRNA from 1 species